ensembl:lincRNA
ACAGGGUGGCAUUGAUGGGGAAAAUACUUCUGUGUAUGUUUAUAAAUAAAGUACUUGCUUGGCCAAUGAGACAGCAGGUUAGGCUGGACUAGGAGUAAAAGAGGAUUCUGGGAAAUGUAGUAGAGAAGUGGUGUUCCAGACAGGAAGUGACAUAGCAAGGAGACUCAUAUUUAAGAAGAGGAAAAAGGAAGUGUCUCUCUUUUUUCCCCUCGGCUCAUGCUCCAGUGGCGCGAUGUGAUUCACCAGCAAGGAGGGACGCCAAUAAGGCGUCCGAUAAGAUAAGUCCCAUAAAAUAUAUAGAUCUAUGGUAACCUUGAUGAAUUCCUAAUUUUAUCCUGCCUGUGUAAGAUCCACCUUCAUGAAAACCUCUGAACUAAAUGUUGCCUCAAAUAUAUAAUCUAAACUGAUCAGGGAGUUAUGGCAUGGAGACUCAGAAUACGUGGAGAAGUAGACUUCUCUGGAUCUAUGCUCCUAACUGCUGAGAGAAUAUAAAAAUAGACAAUGGCCAGUCUAUGUGACAGCAGGAGUCGACCACAGAAACUCAGCAGCAGGCCCAAGAGGGUUUCUCUGUGUAGCUUUGGAGCCUAUCCUGGCAAUUGCUCUGUAGACCAGGCUGGCCUCGAACUCACUGAGAUCUGCCUGCCUCUGCCUCCUGAGUGCUGGGAUUAAAGGCAUUCACCACCAACGCCUGGCAACUUCAUUAAGUUUUAACCAUUUGGAAAAACUGGAUAAUAGCAGAAACUAUGGUAAAGAAUUGUUUGGAGUCAUGUUAAAUAGAAAUGAAAUUCAUUUACAAAGACAGGAUUGGAGGAAGAGACCGGUUUAUAUCUCUCAUUAUAUUAUCUUCUGUAUAUGUAGUCAAAGUUAAGCCUGAAGCAAACUAUACUUCUUCUUUGGAUAGUUCACAAAAUCUUCCACCCUUUCCCAUUGAGGGAGCUAAUUGAAGAUGGACAGCCUUGUCUGGACCAUCCAUUAAGAUUGCACAAAUGUCCUUUUCAUGAACACAACAAAAUGAGCUGUAUGGUGUACAGAUAUUGCUAAAGGGUGUUUCCAGUUCAUUUAAUCCUGUGAUUGCGUCUCAGUAUGUUACAGUUUCAUUACCACUUUUUAAAAUGGCUACUGUUAGACAAAAUGAAAAUAACUAUAUCUCUUAAACUUUUUUCAGGUUGAACAAUUGAUAAGACAUUGAAUCCAUCCUGUAUAUGUUACUCAUAUCAGAUCUCAUUUAGAACUUCCUGGUCCCCUAAUAAAAAGGAAUGAUCAAGAAAUUAAGCUUAAAACAACCUAAGAUGCUCAAUAUUCCAGUCUCUUACUUGCAAAAAAAAAUGCUUCUCUUUGUCUAAAUCCUAAACACUGUGUUUAGGAUUCCAUUGCUUUCCAUUGCCAUUUCAACUACUCCUUCUUUCACAGGCACAGGCAAAACUGCUCCCAAAGUAAACAAACCCAAUGGAUUUUGUCAGAUGGAUGUUCCUCAUAUUCAGUUCAGUCCUUUGUUCAUGUCAUUAUUGACACCUUUUCAGGUUACACAUGGGCUACGGUACUACCUAGAGAAUAAAACAACAUUCAUGCUAUUGCACAUUUACUACAUAUUUUUGCUAUUUUACACUCACAUAUGCUAGUGUUGGCUUUUCUGACUUCUGGCUGAUUGGCACAUUGAGCAUAUAAUAGAUAUCCUGUUUAAAAGUGCAGGAACAACUCAUAGUUGAACAUAAACAUCCUACCAUGGAAAUGUUUCUUUAAAACAUAAAGGGGGGAUUUUUCCUCCCUCAAAGAUUUAGUAUAUCUUACUUUAUAUGCUAUAGAAGUUGAAACUUUCACUAAUAAUUGGUGGUUUGAAGCACAACAGCAUAGGACUGAGCCAACACCACCAGCUAAUUUGGUGGAAAGACAAAAUUUAUAAUACUUGGACCCCUAGGCUUGCCAAGCUGUGGUAUUAGUGAUGUGUUUGUAGUUUCAUAGAAGAUGAAAAGGACACUUAGGUGCUGAAGAUUAAAACAUUGUCAUGAGUCAUCAUAAUUUCACUAUGAGAACCUAGCUGAAGCAUCAUUGAAAAAGAUGCAAACCACCAUCCCUGAAGGGGAAAGUAUGCCUCAUAGGCAGCAAGUAACAUGACCAAGUUGGGGACAAAGGAAGGAAGGAAGGAAGGAAGGAAGGAAGGAAGGAAGGUGAGAAAGAAGGAAGGGAGGGAGAGAUGGAGGGAGGGA